rnacentral:lncRNA from 1 species
GCCUGUCCCCCUGCCUCAGGGCCCCUCAUUCUCCAUCCUCCUGACCUCCUCAGGGACCCUCUGGCCCGGUCCUCCCUAACUCAAGGGCCCCCACUCUCCAUCCUCCCGAUCCCCCACUCCCAGCCCGGUCCCUGCCGCCUCAGGGUCCCCACUUGGCCCCAGCUCCUCGCGACGCCCCCUCCCCCGCGCGCCGCUGAGGCGGCGGAGUCGGCGCGUCAUGGCGGCGGCGGGCGGGGCGCGUCGCACGCAGCGCGCCGGGGCGGAGCGCUCGCCGCAUUGUUUGCUUCGCUGGGGAGCGAGCGAGCGACCCGGCCCUGGCGUCCGAGCCAGCCCCGCGUCCCGCGCCCGCCGCCCGCCGCCCGCGCCCGCCGGCCGGGCCCCCCGAGCUGGGCCUCAGCCGGGCCCGAGAGCCCGCGCCGCUCAGGCCGCCGCCCGAGUCCGCGGCCGCCGCUGCCGGGCCGGAGCCGCCCGCCGGCCGAGGAAGGCCGCGCCCAGGGGCGGCGGCGGGGCCGGCCUGCGGCCGUUAGCGGAAGGCCGCGGGCGCCGGUAGCCGCCGCCUCAUCGACCGCCGGCCCCCGCGCCCGCCCGCUUGCCGGGCUCCCGCGGCCGCGGCGCCCCGAAGGUGAGUGGGCGGAGGCCUGGCCGUGGAGGCCUCCCCGCCGCCUCGCGGGCCGCCCGGGCCGCCGCCGCCUCCGCCUCGGCCCGGCCUCUCGGGGUUGUGGUGCCGACGCCAUGUUUGGCGGCGGCGGCGGCGGCGGCUCCGCAUUGUCCGCGGACCGGGAGCCCGGGAUGCCGGGGAGGCCGGGCGGGGAGACCGGGGAGUUCGGGCCGGGCGGCCGGGGAGACAGGCAGGGAGCCCGGGAGGCCGGGCGGGGAGACCGGGGAGGUCAGGCCGGGGAGUCGAGGGAGGCCGAGUCGGGCUAUGGGUCUCGGCGGCCUGGGCCGCGGCGCCCGCCCGGAGUCCGCGCUCGAGUCGGGUCGGGCCUCGGGCAGCCGCCGAGCCGGCCGGGCCGCCCCUUAUGUAACAGACAGGCCGGCCGAGCUCUGCCCAGACGGGAACUCCCUGUGAGCAGGGACGCGCCCCGAGAUCGCCCAGGAGCCGCGCGGCCUGCGGCGGCCGGGCUGGAGAACCGGCGCCGCCGCCUCCCCGGGCGUUUGCAGGGAGACGCCUCGCGACGAACGCGAGGCUUCCCCGGGCCUUUUAAACGAGUGACACGAUUGAAGCGCAGUUCACGGGAAACGCGGCUGUUGUGA